CUGGAGGUCGGGGAGGACAUGGCCUCUGAAGUCCCAGGAGGCCGUGGUGACGCAGAGGGCCUGCCCUGUGCCCCCGCUGAUGGGAGCGGCCAUCAGGACACAGACCGGCAGACAAGAUAACAAGCAGUGUCCGCGAGUCAGCCCGACUCUCCCCCAGCCCCAGCAAGGCCUGGCUCGGCGCCCUGGACCACCCAGCUGCUGAAUAUCACACCAGGACCACCAAGCCUGCCUCUGCCCCAGGCCUGGAAGCUUCUCCCCACUCUCCCUGUGGCCAUCUCCUUCACACCCUUCAGUUCCAGCAUGGUCACCUCCUCCGUGAAGCCCUCCGUGAGUCCCCCAGCCAUCUCUGUGACUUCUCCUGGUUAUUUUCCAGAAUGACCAUGGACUUGUUUUUUCAUUUGUUCACUGUCCGUCUCUUCCUCUGGGAGGGAAAAUCCACGAAGUCAGGGACCUGGAGUUAUUUGCAGCUGUGUCAGUGCUGCUGGGGCGAGGCAUACACCUGUGACGGGACCUCAGGACGGGGACACGGGUCUGCAUGAGGAUUGUCUAACAGUCCCUACAAGACGCUGGGGCCACCAUGUACACUGGAGUCCUCUGGCAGCCAGUGUUCCCCGUUGUGCGGGGCUGGCCGUGACCACGCUGGAAACCCCCCGAUCCCCUUGUUGCUCCUGCCCUCCUGCAAGCACCUCCGCCGCCUCGACAAGCACAGCCUGGCCCCAGGGCCUCUCCCUCCCCUGGCCCCAGUCACCCCUACCUCCUCACCACCCCCUGUCAUCUCCCAUUGCUCCCCCUCCUUGCCAAGCUGCUCCUGACUCCCUGUCCCCUCCUCGAGCCAUCGGGAAGGCCUGCGUCCUGGCAGGCUCCAGUCUCUGCGGCUGCCCCUCCGGCAGGCCGCCGAGAAUCAGCGCGGCAUUGGGCCAGGCACGGUUUCCACGAGCUUCCUCCUUCUGAUCCUCCCCUCCGCCCCCCCCACCAAGCUCCCCAAAAUCUCUCACUCACACCCCAAAUCACCUGGGCCCCCCACCUCAAACCAGAGGCCAUCGGGGCAGAACCCAGCAAUUGUCACCGCCCUCUCACGAAGCGUCCCGUGCCCCCCGGAGCACAUGUCCACAGCGAGGCCCUUCACGGCUCUCAGAUCAGCUCCCCGCCUGCAGGUCCCAGCCGGCCCUGCUGUCGCUGCAGGUUGAGCUUCUCAUGAGUGAAGGCCCCGGUCACUCUGACGCCGCCAAAUAGUGGAGACAACACCAAGCUCUAAAGAUUUUCAAAGGGAGAGAGACAAAAAAAAAUGAAGGCCAGGUGUGGUGGCUCACACCUUUAAU